rnacentral:sRNA from 1 species
ACAGCUACUUUGCCCUACAUCAAGCAGGAAGAAUUUUCUCCCCGAAGCCAAAACUCACAACCUGAGGGUCUGUUGGUCAGGGCCCAACAUGAAGGUGUAGUCAGAGGUAAAAUAUGCUUGUUGGCAGAAAUGUUAAACUUUUGUCCCCAAUAAAUUUAUUAAAGUACCGCAGGAGCCAUACAAGAAGGAAGUAUAACUCGGGGAACUCCAACCAGCAAAAUUUCAGUGGAGAGCAUUCCAUCCCUGCGGGGCUCUAUCACUCAGGGCACCCCGGCUCUGCCCCAGACUGGCAUACCAACAGAGGCUUUGGUGAAGGGGUCCAUUUCUAGAAUGCCUAUUGAAGACAGCAGUCCUGAGAAAGGCAGAGAGGAAGCUGCAUCCAAAGGCCAUGUUAUUUAUGAAGGCAAAAGUGGACAUAUCUUGUCAUAUGAUAAUAUUAAGAAUGCCCGAGAAGGGACUAGGAGUCCGAGAACAGCUCAUGAAAUCAGUUUAAAGAGAAGCUAUGAAUCAGUGGAAGGAAAUAUAAAGCAAGGGAUGUCAAUGAGGGAGUCUCCUGUAUCAGCACCGUUAGAGGGGCUGAUAUGCCGAGCAUUACCCAGGGGGAGUCCUCAUUCUGACCUCAAAGAAAGGACUGUAUUGUCUGGCUCCAUAAUGCAGGGGACACCAAGAGCAACAACUGAAAGCUUUGAAGAUGGCCUUAAAUAUCCCAAACAAAUUAAAAGGGAAAGUCCUCCCAUACGAGCAUUUGAAGGUGCCAUUACCAAAGGAAAACCAUAUGAUGGCAUCACCACCAUCAAAGAAAUGGGGCGUUCCAUUCAUGAGAUUCCAAGGCAAGAUAUUUUAACUCAGGAAAGUCGGAAAACUCCAGAAAUGGUCCAGAGCACACGGCCGAUAAUUGAGGGUUCCAUUUCCCAGGGCACACCAAUAAAGUUUGACAACAACUCAGGUCAAUCUGCCAUCAAACACAAUGUCAAAUCCUUAAUCACGGGGCCUAGCAAACUAUCCCGUGGAAUGCCUCCGCUGGAAAUUGUGCCAGAGAACAUAAAAGUGGUAGAACGGGGAAAAUACGAGGAUGUGAAAGCAGGCGAGACAGUGCGUUCCCGACACACGUCAGUGGUAAGCUCUGGCCCCUCCGUUCUUAGGUCCACACUGCAUGAAGCUCCCAAAGCACAACUGAGCCCUGGGAUUUACGAUGACACCAGUGCACGGAGGACCCCUGUGAGUUAUCAAAACACCAUGUCCAGAGGCUCACCCAUGAUGAACAGAACUUCUGAUGUUACAGUUUCUUCUAACAAGUCUACCAAUCAUGAAAGGAAAUCGACACUGACCCCUACCCAGAGGGAAAGUAUCCCAGCGAAGUCUCCAGUGCCUGGGGUGGACCCUGUCGUGAGCCACAGUCCGUUUGAUCCCCAUCACAGAGGCAACACUGCAGGAGAGGUUUAUCGGAGCCACCUGCCCACGCACUUGGAUCCAGCCAUGCCUUUUCACAGGGCUUUGGAUCCUGCGGCUGCUUACCUAUUUCAGAGACAGCUUUCACCAACUCCAGGUUACCCAAGUCAGUAUCAGCUUUACGCAAUGGAGAACACAAGACAGACAAUCUUAAAUGAUUACAUUACCUCACAACAGAUGCAAGUGAACUUGCGUCCAGAUGUGGCCAGAGGACUCUCCCCAAGAGAGCAGCCACUGGGUCUCCCAUACCCAGCAACGAGAGGAAUCAUUGACCUGACCAAUAUGCCUCCAACAAUUUUAGUGCCUCAUCCAGGGGGAACAAGCACUCCUCCCAUGGACAGAAUCACUUAUAUUCCUGGUACACAGAUUACUUUCCCUCCCAGGCCAUACAACUCUGCUUCCAUGUCUCCAGGACACCCAACACACCUUGCAGCUGCUGCAAGUGCUGAGAGGGAACGGGAACGGGAGCGGGAGCGGGAGAAGGAGCGGGAGCGGGAACGGAUUGCUGCAGCUUCCUCCGACCUCUACUUGCGGCCAGGCUCAGAACAGCCUGGCCGACCUGGCAGUCAUGGAUAUGUUCGCUCCCCUUCCCCUUCAGUAAGAACUCAGGAGACCAUGUUGCAACAGAGACCCAGUGUUUUCCAAGGAACCAAUGGAACCAGUGUAAUCACACCUUUGGAUCCAACUGCUCAGCUACGAAUCAUGCCACUGCCUGCUGGGGGCCCUUCAAUAAGCCAAGGCCUGCCAGCCUCCCGUUACAACACUGCUGCGGAUGCCCUGGCUGCUCUUGUGGAUGCUGCAGCUUCUGCACCCCAGAUGGAUGUGUCCAAAACAAAAGAGAGUAAGCAUGAAGCUGCCAGGUUAGAAGAAAAUUUGAGAAGCAGGUCAGCAGCAGUUAGUGAACAGCAGCAGCUAGAGCAGAAAACCCUGGAGGUGGAGAAGAGAUCUGUUCAGUGUUUAUACACUUCUUCAGCCUUUCCAAGUGGCAAGCCCCAGCCUCAUUCUUCAGUAGUUUAUUCUGAGGCUGGGAAAGAUAAAGGGCCUCCUCCAAAAUCCAGAUAUGAGGAAGAGCUAAGGACCCGAGGGAAGACUACCAUUACUGCAGCUAACUUCAUAGACGUGAUCAUCACCCGGCAAAUUGCCUCGGACAAGGAUGCGAGGGAACGUGGCUCUCAAAGUUCAGACUCUUCUAGUAGCUUAUCUUCUCACAGGUAUGAAACACCUAGUGAUGCUAUUGAGGUGAUAAGUCCUGCCAGCUCACCUGCGCCACCCCAGGAAAAACUGCAGACCUAUCAGCCAGAGGUUGUUAAGGCAAAUCAAGCCGAAAAUGAUCCUACCAGACAAUAUGAAGGACCAUUACAUCACUAUCGACCACAGCAGGAAUCACCAUCUCCCCAACAACAGCUGCCCCCUUCUUCACAGGCAGAGGGAAUGGGGCAAGUGCCCAGGACCCAUCGGCUGAUCACACUUGCUGAUCACAUCUGUCAAAUUAUCACACAAGAUUUUGCUAGAAAUCAAGUUUCCUCGCAGACUCCCCAGCAGCCUCCUACUUCUACAUUCCAGAACUCACCAUCUGCUUUGGUGUCUACACCUGUGAGGACUAAAACAUCAAACCGUUACAGCCCAGAAUCCCAGGCUCAGUCUGUCCAUCAUCAAAGACCAGGUUCAAGGGUCUCUCCAGAAAAUCUUGUGGACAAAUCCAGGGGAAGUAGGCCUGGAAAAUCCCCAGAGAGGAGUCACGUCUCUUCGGAGCCCUACGAGCCCAUCUCCCCACCCCAGGUUCCGGUUGUGCAUGAGAAACAGGACAGCUUGCUGCUCUUGUCUCAGAGGGGCGCAGAGCCUGCAGAGCAGAGGAAUGAUGCCCGCUCACCAGGGAGUAUAAGCUACUUGCCUUCAUUCUUCACCAAGCUUGAAAAUACAUCACCCAUGGUUAAAUCAAAGAAGCAGGAGAUUUUUCGUAAGUUGAACUCCUCUGGUGGAGGUGACUCUGAUAUGGGUAAGUGGGAUUUCUUUCAUGAACCCCAAAUAAAACAUGCAUUAAUAAUGA